CGGCCGCGGGANNUCGAUUAGAGUUUGAUUAUGGCUCAGGACUAACGCUGGCGGCGUGCCUAACACAUGCAAGUCGAACGAGAAAGCGGUAGCAAUAUCGUGAGUAAAGUGGCGAACGGGUGAGUAACACGUAACCAAUCUGCCUUGAAAUGGAGGAAAACUGAGGGAAACUUUAGCUAACCCCCCAUAAUGUGAUUUUGACGCAUGUCGAGAUCAUUAAAAAUUUAUUGUUUCAAGAAGAGGUUGCGUCUGAUUAGCUAGUUGGCGGGGUAAUGGCCCACCAAGGCUACGAUCAGUAGCUGGUCUGAGAGGAUGAUCAGCCACACUGGGACUGAGAUACGGCCCAGACUCCUACGGGGGGCAGCAGUGAGGAAUAUUGCGCAAUGGGCGAAAGCCUGACGCAGCAACGCCGCGUGUAGGAUGAAAUCCUUCGGGAUGUAAACUACUGUUAGAGGGGAAGAAAUCUCGGUUACGCCGAGAGUGACGGUACCCUCAGAGAAAGCCACGGCUAACUCUGUGCCAGCAGCCGCGGUAAUACAGGGGUGGCAAGCGUUGUCCGGAAUUACUGGGUGUAAAGGGUGCGUAGGCGGAUCGGUAAGUCAGUGGUCAAAUCCUAUAGCUUAACUAUAGACUAUCCAUUGAUACUGUUGAUCUUGAGUGCGAGAGAGAUGAGUGGAAUUCCAAGUGUAGCGGUG
rnacentral:rRNA from 1 species